ensembl:lncRNA
GAAACAUUUCAUAGUACUAUAUAAUGUGUAAAUAUGCGACAAGAAUCAAAUUGGAGUAGGUCGGGCAACUGAUUAUAUGAGUUUGUUAGAAAAACCACUUUCCUUUGCUCCUAGCGCCUUCUAGUUCGCUGUAUAGCGUUUUGAGCGGAUAAAGAGCACAAGUGUGUAAGGGGACACAGGAUGAAUGUGAACUAGUUUUGUUAUUGUACUUUUGAUGAAAAGUCACUUUCUAGACAUAAAAUGUCACUUUUUUCACCUUAUCAUACUUUUUCAUCAACUUUUGCAUUUUAAUGUAAACAAUCCUAUUUCGUAAUAUUUUGGGUCAGAAACAUUUCAUAGUACUAUAUUAUGUGUAAAUAUGUGAAAAGAAUCAAAUUGGAGUAGGUCGGGCAACUGAUUAUAUGAGUUUGUUAGAAAAACCACUUUCCUUUGCUCCUAGCGCCUUCUAGUUCGCUGUAUAGCGUUUUGAGCGGAUAAAGAGCACAAGUGUGUAAGGGGACACAGGAUGAAUGUGAACUAGAUUUGUUAUUGUACUUUUGAUGAAAACUGACUUUCUAGACAUAAAAUGUCACUUUUUUCACCUUAUCAUACUUUUUCAUCAACUGUUGCAUUUUAAUGUAAACAAUCCUAUUUCGUAAUAUUUUGGGUCAGAAACAUUUCAUAGUACUAUAUUAUGUGUAAAUAUGCGACAAGAAUCAAAUUGGAGUAGGUCGGGCAACUGAUUAUAUGAGUUUGUUAUAAAAACCACUUUCCUUUGCUCCUAGCGCCUUCUAGUUCGCUGUAUAGCGUUUUGAGCGGAUAAAGAGCACAAGUGUGUAAGGGGACACAGGAUGAAUGUGAACUAGUUUUGUUAUUGUACUUUUGAUGAAAAGUCACUUUCUAGACAUAAAAUGUCACUUUUUUCACCUUAUCAUACUUUUUCAUCAACUUUUGCAUUUUAAUGUAAACAAUCCUAUUUCGUAAUAUUUGGGUCAGAAACAUUUCAUAGUACUAUAUUAUGUGUAAAUAUGUGAAAAGAAUCAAAUUGGAGUAGGUCGGGCAACUGAUUAUAUGAGUUUGUUAGAAAAAAACACUUUCCUUUGCUCCUAGCGCCUUCUAGUUCGCUCUAUAGCGUUUUGAGCGGAUAAAGAGCACAAGUGUGUAAGGAGACACAGGAUGAAUGUGAAUAAGUUUUGUUAUUGUACUUUUGAUUCAAAGUGACUUUCUAGACAUAAAAUGUCACUUUUUUCACCUUAUCAUACUUUUGCAUUUUAAUGUAAACAAUCAUAUUUCGUAAUAUUUUGGGUCAGAAACAUCUCUUAGUACUAUAUUAUGUCUAACUAUGUGGAAAAAAUCAAAUUGGAGUAGGUCGGGCAACUGAUUAUAUGAGUUUGUUAGAAAAACCACUUUCCUUUGCUCCUAGCGCCUUCUCGUUUGCUCUAUAGCGUUUUGAGCGGAUAAAGAGCACAAGUGUGUAAGGAGACACAGGAUGAAUGCGAACUACUUUUGUUAUUGUACUUUUGAUGAAAACUGACUUUCUAGACAUAAAAUGUCACUUUUUUCACCUUAUCAUACUUUUUCAUCAACUUUUGCAUUUUAAUGUAAACAAUCAUAUUUCGUAAUAUUUUGGGUCAGAAACAUCUCUUAGUACUAUAUUAUGUCUAACUAUGUGAAAAAAAUCAAAUUGGAGUAGGUCGGGCAACUGAUUAUAUGAGUUUGUUAGAAAAACCACUUUCCUUUGCUCCUAGCGCCUUCUCGUUCGCUCUAUAGCGUUUUGAGCGGAUAAAGAGCACAAGUGUGUAAGGGGACACAGGAUGAAUGUGAACUAGAUUUGUUAUUGUACUUUUGAUGAAAAGUGACUUUCUAGACAUAAAAUGUCACUUUUUUCACCUUAUCAUACUUUUUCAUCAACUUUUGCAUUUUAAUGUAAACAAUCAUAUUUCAUAAUAUUUUGGGUCAGAAACAUUUCUUAGUACUAUAUUAUGUCUAACUAUGUGAAAAAAAUCAAAUUGGAGUAGGUCGGGCAACUGAUUAUAUGAGUUUGUUAGAAAAACCACUUUCCUUUGCUCCUAGCGCCUUCUCGUUCGCUCUAUAGUGUUUUGAGCGGAUAAAGAGCACAAGUGUGUAAGGAGACACAGGAUGCAUGCGAACUACUUUUGUUAUUGUACUUUUGAUGAAAACUGACUUUCUAGACAUAAAAUGUCACUUUUUUCACCUUAUCAUACUUUUUCAUCAACUUUUGCAUUUUAAUGUAAACAAUCAUAUUUCGUAAUAUUUGGGUCAGAAACAUUUCUUAGUACUAUAUUAUGUCUAACUAUGUGAAAAAAAUCAACAAAAGUAGUUCGCAUUCAUCCUGUGUCUCCUUACACACUUGUGCUCUUUAUCCGCUCAAAACGCUAUAGAGCGAACGAGAAGGCGCUAGGAGCAAAGGAAAGUGGUUUUUCUAACAAACUCAUAUAAUCAGUUGCCCGACCUACUCCAAUUUGAUUUUUUUCACAUAGUUAGACAUAAUAUAGCACUAAGAGAUGUUUCUGACCCAAAAUAUUACGAAAUAUGAUUGUUUACAUUAAAAUGCAAAAGUUGAUGAAAAAGUAUGAUAAGGUGAAAAAAGUGACAUUUUAUGUCUAGAAAGUCAGUUUUCAUCAAAAGUACAAUAACAAAAGUAGUUCGCAUUCAUCCUGUGUCUCCUUACACACUUUAACCCUAA